AUACACCUCAGAUAUACUCCAUGGCUGAUCUUUUUUUUUUUAAUUCAAUAGAUUUUUAUUAAUAAUUUUAAAGUUAUACAGUAGUAGAUAAUAAGACAGUGUGGUACAUUAUACAUGAGGUGAAAUAGUAUACAUUUGCGAGUACAUAGAUAAAGUGGCAGGUAGAUAAAAUGAACACAUAUAACAAAGGAAAAAAGUGCGCUACUGAAUGUACAAUACAAUGUGACUAAUAAGUGGGUGAAAUGUCCCUGGAAAAAAAAAAGGCUGAACAAAGUCCUAUCCGGGAGACAUUGCAGUGGUUUCCAUUAAAAGGUGGCGUUUAUUCAGUUAGUGACAUACUGACAUCAACUUUAAAACAGUUCAAACACACUGCACACUUAAAAAUCCUUGAGAUUGAAAAAAGCGUGUGUGUAGUGACAUCCAGCUUCGGUGCAGACCAAUCAGCUGGUGAGCGUGGUGACGUCAGCGAUGCUAGGCUCCACUAGGUGGGGAAUUCAACGUCCUGGUUCCUGAGUGUCCUGGAGAAGGUAGCACUGGAACAGUCACCUGGAUGCAGCGAUCGACAUCUUCACUGAGUGCCCGACUGACCCCUAGUGGGUCCAACUUUCUGGUAAGCGGCCAUCCUUUUCUUGAUGCAUCAGGAUUGAUGUUUUCUGCCAGCCAAUUCAUCUGCAGCAGUACUCAUUGAGAAGAGUCAAAGUUCUGUGAAUUAACCCUUAGAUGUCUCCCGGAUAGGACUUUGUUCAGCCUUUUUUUUUCCAGGGACAUUUCGCCCACUUAUUAGUCACAUUGUAUUGUACAUUCAGUAGCGCACUUUUUUCCCUUGUUAUAUAUGUUGUUUGGAGCCCAAUAUUAGGCUUCUUUUGUUUUGAGGUGCAGCACUGUCACAUUUAAAUUUUUCACUACGUAUUCACAUAUUGUUCAUUAUCACCUUCUAGGGGUAUAGCGCGGAUUGUCUUUUGCUUUCCAGAUAAAAUGAACACAGCAAACAUUCGCACAUAUAUGAUAGAAAAACUCCUAGAGAAUUGUAGAGUUAAUUCAAAAUUGCAACAACAACAGUAAAUUGGAGGACUCAAUCCUCCCGAACACCCCCAAGGGGACUCGUAGUGUCCAGGAGGUGUCCUCCCCUUCAAUGAGUAGUAACUAUUCUAUAAACAAAUAAGUGAAAUAAAUAAAGUGAAGUAUAUCAUGCCAAGUUAUCAUACCAGAGAUUCCAUGGAGCCCAGUGGAUCGUAUAUGUAUGUAGAGAAUCUAGGGAUGAUGCUAAAAUGUUCUCAUACAUGUUAUGAAGGUUGGUCAGGUCAAUAGCAUCAUUGGGAGAUGGCGGAUUAGAGUCUUUCCACUUUCUCGUGAUCGAUAGUCUAGCCGCCAAGAGUAAGUGAGUUAUAGUUCUUCGUAGAUUGGCUUGGAAUUUGUCAAUCCCCAGAGAUAGUAGUGCUAAGGCUGGAUCAGUUGUUACCUGCGUCAAGUCAGAAAUUAUAGUGAACAUUUUUUCCCAAUAGGUGGUGAGUUUGAGGCAACUCCACAAUAUAUUCAAUAUGUCUCCUUUGGCGUGGCAUAGCCUCCAACAUGUGUUAGGGGUUUGGGAAUCGAAUUUGGACAUUACCACUGGUGUAAGAUACCAAUGCAGGGUAAUUUUGGUCGAUAAUUCCCAUAGGGAGGUGCAGUUAGAA